AGGAGUUGCAGCCUUCAGAUGACUGGGGUUCAUGCUGUAUGACUGCUUAUUCCUCUUGAUCAGGAAGCCAGAGCAAUUCCACUGGAGACCAUCCAUCACAGAAAAGGCCAAGGAGGAUAACGGAAAAGGAAGAGUUGUCCAAUCAAACAUCGUGGAGAACACAGACUAAGAAAUGACUCCCAGAAAAUAUCACUGGAGCAAAUCAAGGAACAGUCCCUACCAUUAGUGUAGAGGAACUUGCAACUUCUGUUCAGUGGAAUAUCAGAACUGUUAUUCACCAGUGACUGGUCACUGAAUCAAGAAGAGCAGCCAGCAGACAUGAUAUAUAUUCACCAGAUUCUGGACAUCUGAGCCCAAUGCCUGGUAUUUUUGGGAAAUUGGGGAGAGGUGAAAGCGUCUUGUGAGCAGAAGAACAAAUUGGGGCAGACUGCAUGAUUAUUCAUAAUUAUUUGUCUUCUCACUGCCAUUGCCAGUCUUCUCAAUAGAUGGAGUACAUUUGUUCACUCCACUGGCUCUGGGUGUGGCUAUGUGAUUUGCUUUGGCCAAAGGAACCAGAAUGAAUGAGAUGUUUGUCAUGACUGAAAACAUGAUUUCAAAAGCACUGCAAGUUUCCAUCAGUCUUUUCGCUGUCUCGGAAAGUGGCUUUAACCUGGUUUUCAGAAUGAGAAGACAUGUAGGACCCAAAACAGACCAGCAGUGCUGCAGCUGACCCCCAACCUCAAUAUAAUAUGAGCCAGAAAUCAAUAUUUCUUGUUGUAAUCCAAAAAAAAUUAUGUAUUACAACAACAGAAGUUAAUACAUGAGAAUGUUUUGAGCAUUUGAUGUGAUAACACAUGCUUAAUGCAAUGGCUGGCACAUCCUAAAUUCAAAAUAAAUGUUCAGUUCUGUCA